UACGGAGGGGGCAAGCGUUGUCCGGAAUCAUUGGGCGUAGAGCGCGCGUAGGCGGCCAGAUAAGUCCGGUGUGAAAGUCACAGGCUCAACCUGUGAAUGCCGCUGGAAACUGUCUGGCUUGAGUCCGGAAGGGGCGAGUGGAAUUCCUGGUGUAGCGGUGAAAUGUGCAGAUAUCAGGAGGAACACCAAUGGCGAAGGCAGCUCGCUGGAACGGUACUGACGCUGAGGCGCGAAAGCGUGGGGAGCGAACAGG
rnacentral:rRNA from 1 species